rnacentral:rRNA from 1 species
AUACGGAGGGUGUAAGCGUUACUCGGAAUCACUGGGCGUAAAGCGCGCGCAGGCGGGCUGAUAAGUUGGAUGUGAAAGCCUACGGCUCAACCGUAGAACUGCAUCCAAAACUGUCAGUCUAGAGUCUGGGAGGGGAAGAUGGAAUUAGUUGUGUAGGGGUAAAAUCCGUAGAGAUAACUAGGAAUACCAAAAGCGAAGGCGAUCUUCUGGAACAGUACUGACGCUGAGGCGCGAAAGCGUGGGGAGCAAACAGGAUUAGAUACCCUAGUAGUCC